rfam:Stegodyphus mimosarum contig62861, whole genome shotgun sequence.
GCCUUCGUGGUGUAGUAGUCAGCACGCUCGACUCGUAACCGGGAGGUCCAUGGUUCGAUUCCCGACGAAGGCG